AAUUAAAGUGGUACGCGAGCUGGGUUCAGAACGUCGUGAGACAGUUUGGUCCCUAUCUGCCGUGGGCGUCGAUAAUUGAGAGGAGUUGACCCUAGUACGAGAGGACCGGGUUGAACAUACCUCUGGUGUACCUGUCAUGCCGCCAGGCGUGCAGCAGGGUAGCUAUGUAUGGACCGGGAUAAUCGCUGAAUGCAUCUAAGCGAGAAACCCACCUCAAAACCAGGUUUCCCUUGAGAGCCGUCGUAGACGACGACGUCGAUAGGCUGGGUGUGGACGCGCCGCGAGGCGUGGAGCUAACCAGUACUAAUUGCUCGAUAGGCUUGAUC
rnacentral:rRNA from 1 species